rnacentral:rRNA from 1 species
AACGAACGCUGGCGGCAGGCUUAACACAUGCAAGUCGAGCGCCCCGCAAGGGGAGCGGCAGACGGGUGAGUAACGCGUGGGAACCUACCCUUUUCUACGGAAUAACGCAUGGAAACGUGUGCUAAUACCGUAUACGCCCUUUGGGGGAAAGAUUUAUCGGAGAAGGAUGGGCCCGCGUUGGAUUAGCUAGUUGGUGGGGUAAAGGCCUACCAAGGCGACGAUCCAUAGCUGGUCUGAGAGGAUGAUCAGCCACAUUGGGACUGAGACACGGCCCAAACUCCUACGGGAGGCAGCAGUGGGGAAUAUUGGACAAUGGGCGCAAGCCUGAUCCAGCCAUGCCGCGUGAGUGAUGAAGGCCCUAGGGUUGUAAAGCUCUUUCACCGGAGAAGAUAAUGACGGUAUCCGGAGAAGAAGCCCCGGCUAACUUCGUGCCAGCCGCCGCCGUAACAC